rnacentral:rRNA from 1 species
GACGUAGGGGCGAGCGUUGUCCGGAUUUAUUGGGCGUAAAGAGCUCGUAGGCGGCUCAGAAAGUCGGGUGUGAAACCUCCAGGCUCAACCUGGAGACGCCACCUGAUACUGCUGUGGCUAGAGUCCGGUAGGGGAACACGGAAUACCCGGUGUAGCGGUGAAAUGCUUAGAUAUCGGGUGGAACACCAGUGGCGAAGGCGGUGUUCUGGGCCGGAACUGACGCUGAGGAGCGAAAGCGUGGGUAGCAAACAGG